AAGAGAACAUGAAACCCAGUCCAGGGGCUGGGGUCAGAAUGGAUGAACAAUACUUUUCCAGAUACCAUUCCCAAAGGCCAGAAAUCCUUGAAAUCUGAGCCAGAGUCCCAGGCUCAGUCAUACAGCAUGGUCCAUAACCCGGGAAAGUCAGAGACUAGCACAUCUCCCUAAUAAGUAGCCAGGGACUAAUCUCCAGACACCCACAACCCAAGGGACUCCAAAGUUGACAGGCAUUUGGGACCGGUACUGAAGCCACGAGGAAACUCAUCCACCAGCCAUCAACUUGCUAAGAAUACAUAACUGGGAAGGCCUAGGGACAACUUCCAGCAAGCAGGCCCAUGCUGCUGCGACAGGAGGAGAGGAAGCUACCUCCUGGCCACGCAACACUCACUAUGACAGUGAGCAAGGAAAGAAGACGAUGAGAGGACCUGGCUCACAGGUGGCUUUCAAUGGAAAAGAAACUGUAGUCUUGGACCCCAGCUGACAAGGACCACAAAGCAUCAGGCAGAAAGAGCCCCAGACUAAGAGGAUAAACGUUAGGCUCCGCAAGCAUCGAGGUCUGUCACGUGCAAGGGUCGUCACAUGAAAGCCUUCUGAAGGGCACUCAGCCCACUCUGUUCCCUGUAACAGCGGCCACAUUCAACCCUCUGCCCUCUCUGAGGGCAGCAGAAUAAAGUGCCAUCCUACCAGAAACCGUGCCAUUUGCUGCCUCCCAAAUGCCAGCGUGUUUAAGUCCUUUCCCCCUAGGGCUUUCCCUUCAGCUGUGCUGGAGAAACGGAGAGAAAACAGAACUGCUAAAGCGUGAGAGAUGUUACAUCACGGCCUUGGUCAGGACUUUCCAGAGUGAGCUGGAAAGUCCAGGGGUAGGGGGUCUCCCCAACUGGGGAAGGACUCCCCAAGAUCUCAGAGGAUGAAUCUUCCUGACCAUAAAAUAAAAUGUUCA